AGAUUGAACGCUGGCGGCAUGCCUUACACAUGCAAGUCGAACGGCAGCACGGGAGCAAUCCUGGUGGCGAGUGGCGAACGGGUGAGUAAUACAUCGGAACGUGCCUAGUAGUGGGGGAUAGCCCGGCGAAAGCCGGAUUAAUACCGCAUACGACCUACGGGUGAAAGCGGGGGGUCGCAAGACCUCGCGCUAUUGGAGCGGCUGAUGUCAGAUUAGGUAGUUGGUAGGGUAAAAGCCUACCAAGCCGACGAUCGUGCAGCUGGUCUGAGAGGACGACAGCCACACUGGGACUGAGACACGGCCAGACCUCCGUACGGGAGGCAGCAGGUAGGGGUAACUUUUAGGACAAGUGGGCGACGAAGCCAGACGUCCAGUACCAUCGGCCGCGUUGGACGGGAAG
rnacentral:rRNA from 1 species